rnacentral:rRNA from 1 species
CCCUUAGACGUUCUGGGCCGCACGCGCGCUACACUGACGAAGGCAACGAGCUUUCCUUUACCGAAAGGUACGGGUAAUCUUUUGAAACUUCGUCGUGCUGGGGAUAGAUCCUUGCAAUUUUUGAUCUUAAACGAGGAAUGCCUAGUAAGCGCAAGUCAUCAACUUGCGUUGAUUACGUCCCUGCCCUUUGUACACACCGCCCGUCGCUACUACCGAUUGAAUGGUUUAGUGAGAAUUUUGGACUGGAACUCCCUUGCUCAGCAAUGGGCGAGGGGGAGUCCGGGAAGCUAUUCUAACUGUAUCAUUUAGAGGAAGUAAAAGUCGUAACA